ensembl:lncRNA
AGGGAUCAAUCUACAUCUGAAGACGUUCAAUGUGAGAGAGUGGUGGAACAGAGUCGUACAGAGGCCUGUCACACAGGGGGACAGGACCGCCCUUCAGAACAGGCCCUGGUGAAGUGUAUCACGCUGCGUUGUAUGAAGAACAGUCGUGUGUGUGGGCGGCCUCUGCCGGAGUGGAGCGUCAGUAUAUAAGAGGUGGAGCUGACACAGAAAGGGAGGAAUAUGAGCUGGCACGCACAGAGGGACACACCACAAUCAGAAGGUCUGACAGAGGUCCAGGGUGAUGGGGAACCUGGUGUUGAAGAACAAAAAGGCCCGGUUUGUCAUCGCCCAUAAACUGCUGCUGCUCCAAUACAAGAAUGAGACUGGUGUUUUGAGGAUUCUUCUAGGGUACCUGGCUCAGGACAGGGAGAGACCACUACGAUACAGGCGCUGCGAGCAACCCCUUCUGGAGCAGCAGCAUAGUGUGGGACUACUGAGUGAUGCAGAGGUACAGGAGCUACGCUCAGGAACAUCCCCAAUUGUAGAACCUUUUGAGGAUCUGAGGACCCAUGCCAAAUCUUUUCAGUCUCCUGAGGGGGAAUAGGUUUUGUCGUGCCCUCUUCACGACUGUCUUGGUGUGCUUGGACCAUGUUAGUUUGUAUUGUGUCACACGACCAGAGCUGUUCACUAUUUUCUGACCUGUCCACCUCCGGGUUGUAUUCAUUUGAGAAAUGAAAAUAAAAUAAAAUAUGAAAACAACUGAGCUUGGAAUUGUAGGCUACAUGGGGCGACAGGUAGAGCGUUGGGCCAGUGUCCGAAAGGUUGCUGGAUCAAAUCCCCGAGCUGAUGAGGUUAAAAAUCUGUUGUUCUGCCCCUGAACAAGGCAGUUCCCCGGUAGGCCGUCAUUGUAAAUAAGAAUUUGUUCUUAAAUGACUUGCCUAAUUAAAUAAAGGUUCAAUAAAAAAAAUGUAGUCCCAUCUUGUUGAAGAAUUCUGUAAAUAUUAAAUAUCAAAACAGAAUAGAAACCCCUUUGUUAAUACUGUAUGUAUUUGCAAUAAUUAGCUUAAUGUUGAGGCAUGGCAUAAAAAUAAAUGUAUAUUUUGUCACGCUGGUUAUUUAAAAUAUGAGUCAUGCUUCAGUAGUGGAAUAAUGACAAUUAGCACUUGAAUUUUGUAAAUAAAUGCUGUGUAAAUGUUGGGGUAAUGUAUGAUUGUUAAGUUUGGGUCAGUCACAGUGGUCAGGUAUUCUGCCACUGUGUACUCUCUAUUUAGGGCCAAAUAACAUUCUAGUUUGCUGUUUUUUUUGUUCAUUCUUUCCAAUGUGUCAAGUAAUUAUCUUUUUGUUUUCUCAUGAUUUGGUUAGGUCUAAUCGUGUUGCUGUCCUGGGGCUCUGUGGGGUCUGUUUGUGUUUGUGAACAGAGUCCCAGGACCAGCUUAGUGUAAUUGUUCAUAGACAAAUAUUUGAUAUUGUGUCUGUAACACAUUGAGGGAUUUGUGAAUCUGAAAGUAGAGUGGACGUGGGGCAUAUUCGUCUUUUCAACAACAUUCUGCUAGGUGGGCUUUAGCAUUUUCGCUGAAUAGCAAUGUUUAAGUACUUACUACUUUUAACUACUUUUUAGCAUGUUAGCUAACUAACUCCUAAACCUUAACCUUAAUUCCUAACACCUAUCCAAACUAAUGUUAGCCAACUAGCUAACAUGAACAUUAGCCACUUAGCUAACGUUAGCCACAACAAAUUGUAAUUAAAAACAUAUAAGAAAUGGCCGAUGGACAUCCACAAAUUAAUACUUUUAAGUUUUUAAGUUUACUUUUUAAUUUUUUACUUUUAAGCUUUUAAGAUAUCAUAAUAAAUGGAGAGUAUCGGGUUUAUAUUCAGAAUAAUACGAAAUGCUCUGAGCUUCA